rnacentral:rRNA from 1 species
AUUGAACGCUGGCGGCAGGCUUAACACAUGCAAGUCGAGCGGGGGAGGUUGCUUCGGUAACUGACCUAGCGGCGGACGGGUGAGUAAUGCUUAGGAAUCUGCCUAUUAGUGGGGGACAACAUUCCGAAAGGGAUGCUAAUACCGCAUACGCCCUACGGGGGAAAGCAGGGGAUCUUCGGACCUUGCGCUAAUAGAUGAGCCUAAGUCGGAUUAGCUAGUUGGUGGGGUAAAGGCCUACCAAGGCGACGAUCUGUAGCGGGUCUGAGAGGAUGAUCCGCCACACUGGGACUGAGACACGGCCCAGACUCCUACGGGAGGUAGCAGUGGGGAAUAUUGGACAAUGGGCGGAAGCCUGAUCCAGCCAUGCCGCGUGUGUGAAGAAGGCCUUUUGGUUGUAAGGCACUUUAAGCGAGGAGGAGGCUCUUAAGGUUAAUACCCUUGAUGAGUGGACGUUACUCGCAGAAUAAGCACCGGCUAACUCUGUGCCAGCAGCCGCCGUAACAC